rnacentral:rRNA from 1 species
AACGAACGCUGGCGGCAUGCCUAACACAUGCAAGUCGAACGAGACCUUCGGGUCUAGUGGCGCACGGGUGCGUAACGCGUGGGAACCUGCCCUUAGGUUCGGAAUAACUCCCCGAAAGGGGUGCUAAUACCGGAUAAUGUCUUCGGACCAAGGAUUUAUCGCCUUUGGAUGGGCCCGCGUUGGAUUAGCUAGUUGGUAGGGUAAAAGCCUACCAAGGCGACGAUCCAUAGCUGGUCUGAGAGGAUGAUCAGCCACACUGGGACUGAGACACGGCCCAGACUCCUACGGGAGGCAGCAGUGGGGAAUAUUGGAAAAUGGGCGAAAGCCUGAUCCAGCAAUGCCGCGUGAGUGAUGAAGGCAUUAGGGUUGUAAAGCUCUUUUACCCGGGAUGAUAAUGACAGUACCGGGAGAAUAAGCUCCGGCUAACUCCGUG